rnacentral:rRNA from 1 species
UACGUAGGGUGCAAGCGUUAAUCGGAAUUACUGGGCGUAAAGCGCACGCAGGCGGUCUGCUAAGUUUGGAGUGACAGUUGGUGGCUUAACUGCCAAAGUGCUUCGAAAACUGACAGACUUGAGGGCUUCAGAGGGACACGGAAUUCCGGGUGGAGUGGUGAAAUGUGUAGAGAUCCGGAGGAACACCAAAGGCGAAGGCAGUGUCCUGGGGAGUACCUGACGCUCAGGUGCGAAAGCCAGGGGAGCGAACGGG